UAGGCUGAGGCAGGAGAAUGGUGUGAACCAGGGAGGCGGAGCUUGCAGUGAGCCAAGAUCACGUCACUGCGCUCCAGUCUGGGAAACAGAGCAAGACUCUGUCUCAAAAAAAAAAAAAAAAAAAAAAAAAGCAUGCAUUUAAGCAGUAACUCCCCAUUCCCCCCAUGCACCCACUCCUGGUUAACCUCUCUUCUCUCUGUCUCUGAACUUGCCUCCUGUGAAGACCUUGUGUAAGUGGAAUAUUGCAAUAUUUGUCCUUCGCCUAGCCUCAUGUUCUCAAGGUUCAUUCAUCUGUGUUGCAGCCUCUUUCCAUAAUUGGUUCCAUUUUAUGAAUAUUGAAACUGGCCCAAUUGUCCCAUAGAAGUGAUGUUUAUGGUUUCUUUUAAAUAAACCUAGAAAUUGGCCCUCUGAAUCUUAGAACUUGAGAAAGUUACAUUUGUCCUAUCUGAGUUCCUUUCUCAGGAAACCAACCACUGGGCCUCCAGAUCGCACCAAGAAGCUGAAAUCCACCAGAUCACAGCAUCUGGACAAUGAGAUGAGAGACACCUCACCCUUCAUGAUUGCCCAGCUGGCCACCUGCUCCCAUUGACCAGCUCUUCCUUACCCUCCCUAAUUCCCAUUUUCUCACACACAGAUGCAUUUCUUCCCUGCUAAAAACCCCUAAUUUUAGGUGGUUGAGGUCAUGGGGUGACUCUGAGUAACAGUCAGAGGAACCUCCAAAUGGGUUUCCGAGGUGGCUGCUCUUUACAUUCCCAUGAGCAGUACAGGGGGCGCGGUUUCCCCACAGCCUUGCCGUCGCUUACCUCUCAUUUUCAGUGAUUUUAUUUGAGAAACAUACAUUCACCCGUCCAAACCCAAGGAAUAGACUCGGAGACUUGAGGAACAGGCGGAGCUCGCAGUGAGCCGAGAUCGCACCUCUGCACUCCAGGAGGCUGAGGCAGGAGAAUGGCGUGAACCCGGGAGGCGGAGCUUGCAGUGAGUCAAGAUCCCACCUCUGCACUCCAGCCUGAGCAACAGAGCGAGACUCCGUCUCAAAAAAAAAAAAAAAAAAAAAAGGACCAUUUAAAAUGUUUUCUUACAUUUUAUUGUAGUAAAAUACAUGUAACAUAAAACUUAUUAUGUAAGCGAUUUUAAGUGUGCAGUUCAGUGGUAUUAAAUACAUAAUAUGUCAUCUUGUGCAACUAUCAACCCCGUCUCCUUUUUUCCUUUUUUGUUUUUUGAGAUGGAGUCUCACUGUAUCGCCCAGGCUGGAGUGCAAGGGCACGAUCUCAGCUCACUGCAACCUCCAUUUCCCGGAUUCAAGCGAUUCUCCUGCCUCAGCCUCCCUAGUAGCUGGGAUUACAGGCACAUGCCACCACGCCUGGCUAAUUUUUGUAUUUUUAGUAGAGAUGGGGUUUCACCAUGUUGGCCAGGCUGGUCUUGAACUCUUGACCUCAAGUGAUCCUAUUAUGAACAUGAGUAUAGAAACAUCUCUUAGACCCUGCUUUGAGUUCUUUUCAGUUUGUAUAUGAAAUUGCUGGAUCAUGUAGUAGUUCCAUUUUUAAUUUGGAAUCACCACGGGGUUUUGGACAGCAGCUGCACCAUUUUACAUCCCACCCGCAGCAUCUGUACAUCCUCACAAAGGUUGUUACUCUCUGCGCUCUCCAUGCUAUUCCACUGGUCUAUAUGUCUCUAAAUGUCUGUUUUUCUUUUUUCUUUUUGAGAUGGAGUCUCGCUCUGACUCCCAAGUUGGAGUGCAGUGGCACAAUCUCAGCUCACUGCAACCUCUGCCUCCUGGGUUCAAGUGACUCUCCUGCGUCAGCCUCCUGAGUAGCUGGGAUUACAGGCUCCCACCACCACACGCAGCUAAUUUUUGUAUUUUUAGUAGAGACGGGGUUUCACCAUGUCGGCCAGGAUGCUCUCAAUCUCUUGACCUCGUGAUCUGCCUGCCUCAGCCACCCAAAGUGUUGGGAUUACAGGCGUGAGCCACCGCGCCUGGCCACCGCCCGAUUUUUUUUCUAUUGAUUUCCUGUUUUCAAUUUCAUUGAUUUCUCUUCUAAUUUUCAUUUAGUUAUUUAUCUUUUCUUCUUCCUGCUUUCAUUGGGUUAAUUUGCUCUUCUUCUUGCUUCCCAAGGUGAAAGUUUGGAUGACUGAUUGUAGAUCUCGCCUCUUCUCUAAUACAUACAUUCCGUGCUAUCAGUUGGCCACUAUGCAUUGCUUUUGCUGCAUCCCACGAGUUUUGAUAAGUUGUGUUUUAUUUUCAUUUAAAAUAUAUAUAUAUAUAUAUAUAUAUUUAUUAUUUUGAGAUGGAGUCUCGCUCUGUCACCCAGGCUGGAGUGCAGUGGUGUGUUCUCAGCUCACUGCAAGCUCUGCCUCCUGGGUUCAUGCCAUUCUUCUGCCUCAGCCUCCCGAAUAGCUGGGACUGCAGGCGCCCACCACCACGCCUGGCUAAUAUUUUUUGUAUUUUUAGUACAGAUGGGGUUUCACCGUGUUAGCCAGGAUGGUCUCGAUCUCCUGACCUCGUGAUCCACCCACCUCGGCCUCCCAAAGGGCUGGGAUUACAGGCGUGAGCCACCGCGCCCAGCCAGAAAUAUAUAUAUAUAUUUAUAUACAUACAUACAUACACACACACACACACAUUUUUUUUUUUUUUUUGAGACACAGUUUUGCUCUUGUUGCCCAGGCUGGAAUGCAAGGGCAUGAUCUUGGCUCACUGCAACCUCCACCUCCUGGGUUCAAGUGAUUCGCCUUCCUCAGCCUCCCAAGUAGCUGGGAUUACAGGCAUGCGCCACCACGCCCAGCUAAUUUUUUGUAUUUUUAGUAGAGACGGGGUUUCACCAUGUUGGUCAGGCUUGUCGCGAACUCCCAACCUCAGGUGAUCCGCCGGCCUCUACCUCCCAGUGCUGGGAUUACAGGCGUGAGCCACUGCACCCGGCCUCAUUUAAAAUAUUUUUAAAGUUCUCUUGAGAUUUCUUAUUUGACCCAUGUGUUAUUUAGAGGUGUGUUAUUCAAUCUCUAAGUAUUCUGGCAUUCUCCAGCUAUCUUUCUCUUAUUGAUUGCUAGUGUAAUUCCGUUGUGGUCUGAGAAUGGACAUUGCAUGAUUUCUAUUGUUUUAAAUUUGUUAAGGUGCGUUUUUACAGCCCAGAAUGUGGCCUAUGUGGGUGACUGUUCCAGGUGGGCUUAAGAAGAACAGGUAUUCUGUCAUUGGAUGAAGCGGUCUGUAGGUGUCCAUUAUAUCCAGUUGAUGGAUGGUCCUGUUGAGUUCAACAUGUUCUUACUGAAUUUCUGCCUGUUGGAUCCACCCAUUUUUGAUAGAGGGGCACAGACGCCAACUAUAACAGUGAAUUCAUCUGUUUCUCCCCAUAGCUCUCUCUCUAAACAAGUUCUUCUAACACGUCAUGCAACACAGGCCUACUGGUAACAAAUUUCUUAAAUUUAUGUCUGAGAAAGUCUUUAUUUGUCCUUUAGUUUUGACAGAUAAUUUUUCAGGGUAUAGAUUCCUGGGCUGGUGGUUAUCUUGUCCAAGCACUUUAAAUAUUUCCCUCAUUUCGGCCAGGCGAGGUGGCUCACGCCUGUGAUCCCAGCACUUUGGGAGGCUGAGGCGGGUGGGUCACGAGGUCAGGAGAUUGAGGUGAAACCCCGUCUCUACUAAAAAUACAAAAAAUUAGCUGGGCGUGGUGGGGGGCGCCUGUAUUCCCAGCUACUCGGGAGAAAAAAAAAAAAAAAAAAAGCUGUUGUAAACAGGUCUUUAAUAAGGAGGUGGCGAGGCUGGGUGCAGUGGCUCAUGCCUGUAAUCUCAGCACUUUGGGAGGCCGAAGUGGGAGGAUCAUUAGAGCCCAGGAUUUUGAGUUUGAGACCAGACUGGGCAACAUAGCAAGACCCUGUCUCUAGAAAAAAAUCAGCUGGACCGGGUGUGAUGGCUCACACCUGUAAAUUCCUAGCAUUCUGGGGGGCCGAUUGCUUGAGCCCAGGGGUUCAUGACUAGCCCGUCUUAAAUAGUGAGACCCCAUCUCUACAAAAAAUAACAAAAUUAGCCAGGCAUGGUGGUGUGCACCUCUAGUCCUAGCUACUCAGGAGGCUGAGGCAGGAGGAUUGCUUACGCCUAGGAGUUGGUGGUUACGAUGAGCCAUGAUGGAAGCACUGUACUCCAGCCUGGGCAACAGAGCGAGUCCCUGUCUCCCAUAAUGAGGAAGUGGUGAGGUCUGGGGAGGAGAGGUGUUCUGUAGCCCUGUGAUCAGGCCUCCAUCUUUGAUGAGCCUUUGCCCUUCACAAGCUCUCAGCUGUCCCCCGCCACCACCCUUAGAGGCGGAGAAUGGCUACAGUGGACUUUGCUGUAUUUCCCUCCCCUAGGUUAGUUAGGCCCUCAAGACCCCAAUAGCUUAGACUCUGGUUAAACUGGUUCUCCUGAGGGCGGAUUUCUUUUUUCUUUUUUUAAGUUCUGGGACACAUGUGCAGAACGUGCAGGUUUGUUACCUAGGUGUACACGUGCCAUGCUGGUUUGCUGCCCCUCUCAACCUGUCAUCUAGGUUUUAAGCCCCGGACGCAUUAGGUGUUUGUUCUCAUGCUCGCCCUCCCCUUGCCCCCACCCACCGACAGGCCCCGGUGUGUGAUGUUCCCCUCCCUGUGUCCAUGUGCUUUCAUUGUUCAACUCCCACUUAUGAGUGAGAAAAUGGGGUGUUUGGUUUCCUGUUCCUGUGUUGGUUUGCUGAGAAUGAUGGUUUCCAGCUUCAUCCCUGUCCCUGCGAAGGACAUGAACCCAUUCUUUUCCUAAAGAGGGCAGAGCACUCUGGCGUAUUUCAAAAUGGUCCCUUCUCCCCUGUCUCUGCUAGAGCCCUGAGGGGGUUUUCUCUGAUUUUCGCUGUGAGAACCUGGCAGCAUUCCAGGAAGUAAAAUUCACAAGAGCAUGGAGACCUCCUGUGAGUGGGUCUUCCCGGGAGUCCUUAGCUCUCAGACUUGUCCACAUGCUACUGAGAAAGCCGGUUGCCCAAAAGAUGGGGUCCUUCCCUGUUUGGUGUCACGAAGCCGAUACAUGAAACCGAAGCCGACUUUAUUCAGUGACCACGGACUGAGAAGCAGGAGCUUGGCCCACAGUUCAACUUCUCAACAGGUGAGCGGGCAGGGGCUAAAUGUAGGGUUUCUGUACUGAAGGGGCUGGAGGUGAACAGCGAGGGGAAGAAUAUUCAUGUCUUCUGGAAAUGGGCGGUGAACUUCCCGCUGUCUUCCUUUCCUUGGCUGCUUUUGUCAGUUGUCGUGGCUCUAACCAGUCUCAACUGUUCGGGUAAAAAGAGGAACUUUUUAUCACAGCCGUCCUGUUUCUUUUUUUCUUUUUUUUUUUUUUUUUUGAGACGGAGUCUCGCUCUGUCGCCCAGGCUGGAGCAAAGUGGCGCCAUCUCGGCUCACUGCAGGCUCCGUCUCCUGGGUUCACGCCAUUCUCCUG
rnacentral:lncRNA from 1 species